rnacentral:tRNA from 2 species
GGAAGGUUGUCCGAGUGGUCUAUGGAGGCGGUCUUGAAAACCGUUGGGUGAAAGCCCCGGGGGUUCGAAUCCCUCACCUUCCG